rnacentral:rRNA from 1 species
UAAUGGGUCAGCGACUUAUAUUCUGUAGCAAGGUUAACCGAAUAGGGGAGCCGAAGGGAAACCGAGUCUUAACUGGGCGUUAAGUUGCAGGGUAUAGACCCGAAACCCGGUGAUCUAGCCAUGGGCAGGUUGAAGGUUGGGUAACACUAACUGGAGGACCGAACCGACUAAUGUUGAAAAAUUAGCGGAUGACUUGUGGCUGGGGGUGAAAGGCCAAUCAAACCGGGAGAUAGCUGGUUCUCCCCGAAAGCUAUUUAGGUAGCGCCUCGUGAAUUCAUCUCCGGGGGUAGAGCACUGUUUCGGCAAGGGGGUCAUCCCGACUUACCAACCCGAUGCAAACUGCGAAUACCGGAGAAUGUUAUCACGGGAGACACACGGCGGGUGCUAACGUCCGUCGUGAAGAGGGAAACAACCCAGACCGCCAGCUAAGGUCCCAAAGUCAUGGUUAAGUGGGAAACGAUGUGGGAAGGCCCAGACAGCCAGGAUGUUGGCUUAGAAGCAGCCAUCAUUUAAAGAAAGCGUAAUAGCUCACUGGUCGAGUCGGCCUGCGCGGAAGAUGUAACGGGGCUAAACCAUGCACCGAAGCUGCGGCAGCGACACUAUGUGUUGUUGGGUAGGGGAGCGUUCUGUAAGCCUGUGAAGGUGGCCUGUGAGGGUUGCUGGAGGUAUCAGAAGUGCGAAUGCUGACAUAAGUAACGAUAAAGCGGGUGAAAAGCCCGCUCGCCGGAAGACCAAGGGUUCCUGUCCAACGUUAAUCGGGGCAGGGUGAGUCGACCCCUAAGGCGAGGCCGAAAGGCGUAGUCGAUGGGAAACAGGUUAAUAUUCCUGUACUUGGUGUUACUGCGAAGGGGGGACGGAGAAGGCUAUGUUGGCCGGGCGACGGUUGUCCCGGUUUAAGCGUGUAGGCUGGUUUUCCAGGCAAAUCCGGAAAACCAAGGCUGAGGCGUGAUGACGAGGCACUACGGUGCUGAAGCGACAAAUGCCCUGCUUCCAGGAAAAGCCUCUAAGCAUCAGGUAACAUCAAAUCGUACCCCAAACCGACACAGGUGGUCAGGUAGAGAAUACCAAGGCGCUUGAGAGAACUCGGGUGAAGGAACUAGGCAAAAUGGUGCCGUAACUUCGGGAGAAGGCACGCUGAUAUGUAGGUGAAGCGACUUGCUCGUGGAGCUGAAAUCAGUCGAAGAUACCAGCUGGCUGCAACUGUUUAUUAAAAACACAGCACUGUGCAAACACGAAAGUGGACGUAUACGGUGUGACGCCUGCCCGGUGCCGGAAGGUUAAUUGAUGGGGUUAGCGGCAACGCGAAGCUCUUGAUCGAAGCCCCGGUAAACGGCGGCCGUAACUAUAACGGUCCUAAGGUAGCGAAAUUCCUUGUCGGGUAAGUUCCGACCUGCACGAAUGGCGUAAUGAUGGCCAGGCUGUCUCCACCCGAGACUCAGUGAAAUUGAACUCGCUGUGAAGAUGCAGUGUACCCGCGGCAAGACGGAAAGACCCCGUGAACCUUUACUAUAGCUUGACACUGAACAUUGAGCCUUGAUGUGUAGGAUAGGUGGGAGGCUUUGAAGUGUGG